AACACAAAACUCCCUAGGUCAGCUGAUAGCUGUUAAAACAGAGAUUUGAACCCCAGAUUUCAAUCCCCAGAAGUCCUUGGUACUUCCCAGAAUUCCCUAUAAUCUCACCUGAGUCUCCACCUGGAUGAGAUCACAAUUUAUUAUUUAAAGGGCUCUCUGCCUCUCAAGAGCUCUCUUCCUCUACUCAGAUUGCAACAUGUAAGUAGGCUGUGAGUGGGCUAAUCAUGCCCUAGGCAUGUGGCUUAUUAUUUUGUAUCCUUGAUUUCUAAUAAUCUUUAAUAAACCUCAUAAAAUAUUAUACUUUUAUUACAAGAGACUAAUUUAAUUGUUACAUAGCUCAUGAAAACUUCAGGCCAGCGAAACCCAGAAAUAGACCCGUCAAAGAUACUUGCCUUCUAAUUAUUCAUUUAUGUUGUUGUUGUCUUAUCGAACAGAUAUGUCAGUAUCAUAUCAACCAAAACUAAGUAUUCCUGGAACCCAAGAGUGACAUCACAAAGAGCAGGACUACUGUGCGUUGCCAAGGACUUCUGAGGUGCUGAUGUCCUAUCAAGGAUAGCCUCAAUUGGUCCACUAUCUCUGGAUAAUCAGAAAAUUUAAAAAUGAAGUCUUACAAAGAUUGUAGCUUCAAGAGAUUCAAGAUCUUGCUUUAUGAUUUACACUCCAAAGGGGUGAGAAAUGGUUAAACAGCAGGUGAGUGUGUGUCUGGGGAAUAUGUGUGUUUGUGUGUUUGUGUGAAAGGCAAGGAGGCAGACAGGCAAGCAGACAGUCAGAGACAGAAAGACAAAGAAAGUCCAGACUUUGGGGGAACUUAAGACAAGAAUGAGGUUCAAAUAAG
rnacentral:lncRNA from 1 species